GGGGUAGUAAAGGUUUCGACAGGGAACUUGAAGAUGGAGAAGCAGGCCGCAGGUAUGCGUUAAAUCCACAAUUAAAAUUAAACGCUGAAGAUAAUUUAGCAUUCGCAGCCUAAUGGCUGCUGUCUGACCUAGUGCACCUACACAUUAGGACUCAGGCAUCGAUGAUGUAGGAAACGACACAUAUUAAGCUUUGCAUAUGUGGGCGUAUCAUGAAGCUACUAACUAUAUGGGGGUGUUGGUUCGCCUGUAUAGAAGGGAAUGGGGCUUUGCCCGAAACAAUCAGCUAAACCUGUAGAAGUACAUGGGAUGGUUUUUUGGACACGGGUUCGACUCCCGUCUACUCCAUGA
rnacentral:tmRNA from 1 species